UACGUAGGGCGCAAGCGUUGUCCGGAAUUAUUGGGCGUAAAGAGCUCGUAGGCGGCUUGUCACGUCGGGUGUGAAAGCCCGGGGCUUAACCCCGGGUCUGCAUUCGAUACGGGCUAGCUAGAGUGUGGUAGGGGAGAUCGGAAUUCCUGGUGUAGCGGUGAAAUGCGCAGAUAUCAGGAGGAACACCGGUGGCGAAGGCGGAUCUCUGGGCCAUUAAUGACGCUGAGGAGCGAAAGCGUGGGGAGAGAACAGG
rnacentral:rRNA from 1 species